GAUGAACGCUAGCGAUAGGCUUAACACAUGCAAGUCGAGGGUCAGCAUGGUCUUAGCUUGCUAAGACUGAUUGCGACCGGCGCACGGGUGCGUAACGCGUAUGCAACUUGCCUCACAUAGUUGUAUAACCCGUCUAAAUACUGACUAAUACCUCGUACACUUGUUAUAUGGCAUCCUUACCCAAGUAAAUGAAAUUCUCUUUGAGAUAGGCAUGCGUCCCAUUAGCUAGUUGGUGAGGUAACGGCUCACCAAGGCGACGAUGUGUAGGGGAACUGAGAGGUAGAAAAACAACAAAGGUAAUGAGAAAAGGACAAGAAGCGUACGGGAGGCAGAAGUGAGGAAUAUUGGAAAAUGGGAGAGAGCAUGAAAAAGCAAAGACGCGUGAAGGAAGAAUGUGUUAUGGAUUGUAAACUUCUUUUAUAAGGGAAUAAAAAGAGCAACGUGUGGAAACAUGAAGGUACCGUAUGAAUAAGCAUCGGAUAACUACGUG
rnacentral:rRNA from 1 species